rnacentral:rRNA from 1 species
CUACGGGCCGCAGCAGUGAGGAAUCUUCCGCAAUGGGCGAAAGCCUGACGGAGCGACACCGCGUGAAGGAUGAAGGUCUUUUGAUUGUAAACUUCUUUUCUGAGUGAAUAAAUGAUGAAGUUAACUCAGGAAUAAGCACCGGCUAAUUACGUGCCAGCAGCCGCGGUAAUACGUAAGGUGCAAGCGUUAUCCGGAAUCAUUGGGCGUAAAGCGUUCGUAGGUGGCAAAGUAAGUUUGUAGUUAAAUCUGGUCGCUCAACGAUCAACUCGCUACAAAAACUGCUUUACUAGAGAAUGGCAGGGGCAACUGGAAUUCCGCAUGUAGGGGUAAGAUCCGUUGAUAUGCGGAGGAACACCAAAAGCGAAGGCAGGUUGCUGGGCCAUUUCUGACGCUGAGGAACGAAAGCGUGGGGAGCAAACAGGAUUAGAUACCCCCGUAGUC